rnacentral:rRNA from 1 species
AGCGAACGCUGGCGGCAGGCUUAACACAUGCAAGUCGAGCGCCCCGCAGGGGGAGCGGCAGACGGGAGAGUAACACGUGGGAACGUACCCUUUGGUUCGGAACAACCCAGGGAAACUCGGGCUAAUACCGGAUAAGUCCGUAAGGAGAAAGAUUUAUCGCCGAAGGAUCGGCCCGCGUCUGAUUAGCUUGUUGGUGAGGUAACGGCUCACCAAGGCGACGAUCAGUAGCUGGUCUGAGAGGAUGAUCAGCCUCACUGGGACUGAGACACGGCCCAGACUCCUACGGGAGGCAACAGUGGGGAAUAUUGGACAAUGGGGGCAACCCUGAUCCAGCCAUGCCGCGUGGGUGAUGAAGGCCUUAGGGUUGUAAAGCCCUUUCGGCGGGGAAGAUAAUGACGGUACCCGCAGAAGAAGCCCCGGCUAACUUCGUGCCAGCCGCCGCCGUAA